GAAGCUUGCUUCUUUGCUGACGACCGGCGCACGGGUGCGGAACGCGUAUGGAACCUGCCCCUGUCAGGGGAAUAGCCCAGGGAAACUUGGAUUAAUGCCCCAUGGUAUCGUUUUAUCGCAUGAUAUUACGAUUAAAGAUUUAUCGGACAGGGAUGGCCAUGCGUACCAUUAGUUAGUUGGUGAGGUAACGGCUCACCAAGGCAGCGAUGGUUAGGGGCCCUGAGAGGGGGAUCCCCCACACUGGUACUGAGACACGGACCAGACUCCUACGGGAGGCAGCAGUGAGGAAUAUUGGACAAUGGGCGGGAGCCUGAUCCAGCCAUGCCGCGUGCAGGAUGACGGCCCUAUGGGUUGUAAACUGCUUUUAUACGGGAAGAAACGCACCUACGUGUAGGUGUCUGACGGUACCGUAAGAAUAAGGACCGGCUAACUCCGUGCCAGCAGCCGCGGUAAUACGGAGGGUCCGAGCGUUAUCCGGAAUCAUUGGGUUUAAAGGGUCCGUAGGCGGGCCUGUAAGUCAGGGGUGAAAGUUUGUGGCUCAACCAUAAAAUUGCCUUUGAUACUGCAGGUCUUGAGUCAUGGUGGGGUUGCCGGAACAUGUGGUGUAGCGGUGAAAUGCAUAGAUAUCACAUAGAACACCGAUCGCGAAGGCAGGUGACCAACCAUGUACUGACGCUGAUGGACGAAAGCGUGGGUAGCGAACGGGAUUAGAUACCCCGGUAGUCCACGCCGUAAACGAUGGAUACUAGCUGU
rnacentral:rRNA from 1 species